AUGGGGUGCAAGGGGUCGCGAGUUCGAAUCCCGC
rnacentral:sRNA from 1 species